UGCCCGGGUGGCGAAAUGGUAGACGCAAGGGACUUAAAAUCCCUCGGUGGUAACACCGUGCCGGUUCGAGUCCGGCCCCGGGCACCAG
rnacentral:tRNA from 1 species